CUGCUAUCGGAUUGAUACUAAGCCAUGCGAGUCUUUGUAGUAAUACAAGGCAGACGGCUCAGUAACACGUAGUCAACCUACCCUAUGGACAAGAAUAAUCUCGGGAAACUGGGCAUAAUUCUUGAUAGAUCAUAAUGCCUGGAAUGGUUUAUGGUUAAAAUGAUUCGUCGCCAUAGGAUGGGACUGCGGCCUAUCAGCUUGUUGGUGAGGUAAUGGCCCACCAAGGCGAUUACAGGUACGGGCUCUGAGAGGAGAAGCCCGGAGAUGGGUACUGAGACACGGACCCAGGCCCUAUGGGGCGCAGCAGGCGAGAAAACUUUGCAAUGUGCGAAAGCACGACAAGGUUAAUCCGAGUGGUUUCUGCUAAAGGAACCUUUUGUUAGUCCUAGAAACACUAACGAAUAAGGGGUGGGCAAGUUCUGGUGUCAGCCGCCGCGGUAAAACCAGCACCUCAAGUGGUCAGGAUGAUUAUUGGGCCUAAAGCAUCCGUAGCCGGAUCUGUAAGUUUUCGGUUAAAUCUGUACGCUCAACGUACAGGCUGUCGGGAAUACUGCAGAUCUAGGGAGUGGGAGAGGUAGACGGUACUCGGGAGGAAGUGGUAAAAUGCUUUGAUCUCUCGAUGACCACCUGUGGCGAAGGCGGUCUACCAGAACACGUCCGACGGUGAGGGAUGAAAGCUGGGGGAGCAAACCGGAUUAGAUACCCGGGUAGUCCCAGCUGUAAACUAUGCAAACUCAGUGAUGCAUUGGCUUGUGGCCAAUGCAGUGUUGCAGGGAAGCCGUUAAGUUUGCCGCCUGGGAAGUACGUACGCAAGUAUGAAACUUAAAGGAUUUGGCGGGGAGCACACAAGGGUGAAGCCUGCGGUUCA
rnacentral:rRNA from 1 species